UACGUAGGGUGCAAGCGUUGUCCGGAAUUAUUGGGCGUAAAGAGCUCGUAGGCGGUUUGUCGCGUCGGCUGUGAAAACCUGAGGCUCAACCUCGGGCCUGCAGUCGAUACGGGCAAACUAGAGUUCGGUAGGGGGGACUGGAAUUCCUGGUGUAGCGGUGGAAUGCGCAGAUAUCAGGAGGAACACCGGUGGCGAAGGCGGGUCUCUGGGCCGAAACUGACGCUGAGGAGCGAAAGCGUGGGGAGCGAACAGG
rnacentral:rRNA from 1 species